ACGGAAGGCAGCAGUGGGGAAUAUUGCACAAUGGGGGAAACCCUGAUGCGGCGACGCCGCGUGAGCGAAGAAGUAUUUCGGUAUGUAAAGCUCUAUCAGCAGGGAAGAAAAUGACGGUACCUGACUAAGAAGCCCCGGCUAACUACGUGCCAGCAGCCGCGGUAAUACGUAGGGGGCAAGCGUUAUCCGGAUUUACUGGGUGUAAAGGGAGCGUAGACGGAAUGGCAAGUCUGAUGUGAAAGGCUGGGGCUCAACCCCGGGACUGCAUUGGAAACUGUCAAUCUAGAGUACCGGAGGGGUAAGUGGAAUUCCUAGUGUAGCGGUGAAAUGCGUAGAUAUUAGGAGGAACACCAGUGGCGAAGGCGGCUUACUGGACGGUAACUGACGUUGAGGCUCGAAAGCGUGGGGAGCAAACAGGAUUAGAUACCCUGGUA
rnacentral:rRNA from 1 species